UUUUCAACUUACUCCCUUUGUCAAACCUUACUGCUUUUCACGGUUACAACUUAUGCUAUUCCCUUCUGUUACACGGAUUCUUCCUAUCUCCCACGUUUUGUUUCAUCGUUUCAGCUUUUGUGUUGGCUUCUAAUGGCAGCCUCUCUGUCUUCCUUCUUCUCCUCACAUCCAUAUAAAUAUUGAUGUAAGCUGGGUGGUUCAAUUGAGGGGCGGCGGCAGGCUUCACACUUGGAGGCGGGGGAUGGAUAUCGAACCUGAUCGUAUAUCUGAUUCAGGUGUUAAAUUUGGAAAACAUAAAUGCUGCUAAGAUUUCAAACAUAGUAGUGAGUGGUAACACCAAGUUGCUUCCGGUCAUUGGAGCAAUUGUUGCUGACUCUUUCUUUGGUACUUUCUCUGUUGUUGCAGUUUGUACCUGUAUCUCUUUGUUGGUAAUACUCUUUACAGUGUUGCAACUUGCAAGAUGCAUAGUCUGUUGUGUGUGUAGUUUGCUUGCUAGACUCCCUGUUGUGCGUUUAUCUCGAGUUAUAUUUAAUUUUUCAAUAUAAUUGAUUGAUCGAUA